rnacentral:lncRNA from 1 species
GAGGUCCAAGGUUGUGCAGCGUCAGUGUUCAGAGAUGGAGACUGAGCCUAGCCCUCCCCCACAGUCUAGCUCCUUGUCUCAGAGUAGAGACAAUUUCUGGCACAGGAUUCUAUGUCAGCCAAGGUGGAUGUCCUCUUCACUUUCACCACCAACAAUCUCACUUUUUUAUAAACACAAGGUUUAGAAAUGCUCCAAUCAAAUUCACUCUUACUGAUAGAGUAUGCUGUUUCUUAGUGAAGUGUCUCCUGAGCCCACCCCAUCCUACGGCCCAGUUCAGAUGCAGAUGUUCUCAAAUAAACCUGAAGGACUAGUUGGUGUGGACAUGGCAGGAUCACCUCCAGCAGGACAGAGAGUUAAAAAAGGGGGAAGGCUGGGUCUAGGAAAGCUACCUUCUCCAGUGGAACUGAUGGGCCGGAAGAAGAAGGGGAGGACAGGGGGUGCAGCACAGAGCAGCCAGGUGGUGCAACCCAGGGUGGCAGCAGUGCUGCAGCACAUUGGGGACCUCCGCAGGAGACAGAGCUCUAUUGACCAGUUGAAGCGGGGGAGUUGGUGGGGCUCCAAACCCAGGUGUAAGGCAGAAAAGGGCUGUUCCCAGAGGCAAGCAGAUGACAGCAGCAUGACUAUCAGCACCACAGUGGAGAAGCAGGAUGAAGCUACGGACUACCUCAGUCCAACCCUCACUCGUCCUUACACCCAGAAGGAGGCAUGGACUCAACUCUCACUGACUGAUAUUAUAUUUAAGAGUAACUGGAAUUGA